rnacentral:rRNA from 1 species
UACGUAGGGGCGAGCGUUGUCCGGAAUUAUUGGGCGUAAAGGGUACGUAGGCGGUUUAGAAAGUCAGAUGUUAAAGCGUGAGGCUCAACCUCAUAAAGCAUUUGAAACUUCUAGACUUGAGUAGUGGAGAGGAAAGUGGAAUUCCUAGUGUAGCGGUGAAAUGCGUAGAUAUUAGGAAGAAUACCGAAGGCGAAGGCAGUCUUCCAAGCCGUUAUUGACGCUCAACUGCGAAGGUGUGGGUAUCAAACAGGAUUAGAUACCAGCGUAGUCACUGA